CUUUGGCGGCUGCCUUACCAUGCAAGUCGAACGGCAGCACGGGAGCAAUCCUGGUGGCGAGUGGCGAACGGGUGAGUAAAGUAUCGGAACGUGCCCAGUCGUGGGGGAUAACGUAGCGAAAGUUACGCUAAUACCGCAUACGAUCUAUGGAUGAAAGCGGGGGAUCGCAAGACCUCGCGCGAUUGGAGCGGCCGAUAUCAGAUUAGGUAGUUGGUGGGGUAAAGGCUCACCAAGCCGACGAUCUGUAGCUGGUCUGAGAGGACGACCAGCCACACUGGGACUGAGACACGGCCCAGACUCCCACGGGAGGCAGCAGUGGGGAAUUUUGGACAAUGGGCGAAAGCCUGAUCCAGCCAUGCCGCGUGCAGGAUGAAGGCCUUCGGGUUGUAAACUGCUUUUGUACGGAACGAAAAGGUUUGGCCUAAUAAGCUGAGCUCAUGACGGUACCGUAAGAAUAAGCACCGGCUAACUACGUGCCAGCAGCCGCGGUAAUACGUAGGGUGCGAGCGUUAAUCGGAAUUACUGGGCGUAAAGCGUGCGCAGGCGGUUAUGUAAGACAGAUGUGAAAUCCCCGGGCUCAACCUGGGAACUGCAUUAGUGACUGCAUAGCUGGAGUACGGCAGAGGGGGAUGGAAUUCCGCGUGUAGCAGUGAAAUGCGUAGAUAUGCGGAGGAACACCGAUGGCGAAGGCAAUCCCCUGGGCCUGUACUGACGCUCAUGCACGAAAGCGUGGGGAGCAACAGGAUUAGAUACCCUGGUAGUCCACGCCCUAAACGAUGUCAACUGGUUGUUGGGUCUUCACUGACUCAGUUAACGAAAGCUAACGCGU
rnacentral:rRNA from 1 species